GAUGAAGAACGCAGCGAAAUGUGAUACGUAAUGUGAAUUGCAGAAUUCAGUGAAUCAUCGAGUCUUUGAACGCACAUUGCGCCCCCUGGUAUUCCGGGGGGCAUGCCUGUCCGAGCGUCAUUGCUGCCCUCAAGCACGGCUUGUGUGUUGGGCCUCCGUCCUCCUCCCGGGGGACGGGCCCGAAAGGCAGCGGCGGCACCGCGUCCGGUCCUCGAGCGUAUGGGGCUUCGUCACCCGCUCUUGUAGGCCCGGCCGGCGCUUGCCGACACAUCAAUCUUUUUUCCAGGUUGACCUCGGAUCAGGUAGGGAUACCCGCUGAACUUAAGCAUACAAUAAGCGGAGGA
rnacentral:misc_RNA from 1 species